UACGUAGGUGACUAGCGUUGUUCGGAUUUAUUGGGCGUAAAGGGUCCGCAGGGGGCCGGCUAAGUCUGAUGUGAAAUACCAAGGCUCAACCUUGGAACUGCAUUGGAAACUGGUUGGCUAGAGUAUCGGAGAGGAGAUUGGAAUUCCUGGUGUAGCGGUGGAAUGCGUAGAUAUCAGGAGGAACACCAAAGGCGAAGGCAGAUCUCUGGACGAUUACUGACCCUCAGGGACGAAAGUAUGGGGAUCAAACAGG
rnacentral:rRNA from 1 species